UACGAAGGGGGCUAGCGUUGCUCGGAAUCACUGGGCGUAAAGGGCGCGUAGGCGGCUUGGCAAGUGGAAGGUGAAAUCCCUCGGCUUAACCGAGGAACUGCCCUCCAAACUGCUUGGCUUGAGACCGGGAGAGGUGAGUGGAAUUCCCAGUGUAGCGGUGAAAUGCGUAGAUAUUGGGGAGGAACACCAGUGGCGAAGGCGGCUCACUGGACCGGUACUGACGCUGAUGCGCGAAAGCGUGGGGAGCAAACGGG
rnacentral:rRNA from 1 species